rnacentral:rRNA from 1 species
AGGACGAACGCUGGCGGCGUGCUUAGCACAUGCAAGUCGAACGGUAAGGCCCCUUCGGGGGUACACGAGUGGCGAACGGGUGAGUAACACGUGAGCAACCUGCCCUUGACUUCGGAAUACCAGUUGGAGACAGCUGCUAAUACCGGAUAUGACCCUGGUCCUCCUGGAUCGGGGUGGAAAGCCCCGGCGGUCAGGGAUGGGCUCGCGGCCUAUCAGCUUGUUGGUGAGGUAAUGGCUCACCAAGGCUUCGACGGGUA